UUGGAUAAAAGUCGUAACAAGGUCUCCGUUGGUGAACCAGCGGAGGGAUCAUUA
rnacentral:rRNA from 1 species